rnacentral:tRNA from 2 species
GCCCAGGUGGUGAAAAUUGGUAGACGCAGGGGACUCAAAAUCCCCCGCCGCAAGGCGUGCCGGUUCGAUUCCGGCCCUGGGCA